GAAAUGCGAUAAGUAAUGUGAAUUGCAGAAUUCAGUGAAUCAUCGAAUCUUUGAACGCACAUUGCGCCCGCCAGUAUUCUGGCGGGCAUGCCUGUUCGAGCGUCAUUACAACCCUAAGGCCCCCGGGCCUGGCGUUGGGGAUCGGCGGAAGCCCCCUGCGGGCACAACGCCGUCCCCCAAAUACAGUGGCGGUCCCGCCGCAGCUUCCAUUGCGUAGUAGCUAACACCUCGCAACUGGAGAGCGGCGCGGCCACGCCGUAAAACACCCAACUUCUGAAUGUUGACCUCGAAUCAGGUAGGAAUACCCGCUGAACUUAAGC
rnacentral:misc_RNA from 1 species